AGAGAGGGUGAGGGAGAGGAGGAGGGGGAGAGAAAAUAUUCAGUAUUUGCAUCUAUUCUAUAUUUAGAAACUAUCAUCACAAAAAUAUUACCCUUUUCAAUAUGCUGAACAGUUGGCAUGAUCGUCUGCUUUCUUAGUUACUCAACAUGUGAAAAUGACUCUAAAUAUUUUAAUCAGCAGAAAAGAGACCAAAAGGGAAAAAAAAACCACAACCAACCAACCAAACAAAUAGGAGUCAUGAAUAACCACUGAAAAAAAAAGUAUGGAGAUGUCUCAGUUUCCAAGAUGUCUGUAUAUCCCUAACAGGGCGUUUUGUGGUGGGGGUGUUUUCCUAAAUAUUGUAAAGUACAAAUAUGCUCUUAAUCCAGAGCAUGUAAAGAACCAUUUGCUUUAAGAAAAUUCAAUGUUUUAUUUAUUAAACUUCCUCAGCUUAGGGAUUACUGAGUUGUGUGGGAUCUAAUUGAUUUGAAGACUAUCAUGAUAUUGGUACUGAUAAAUUCCAAAAGUGAAUGAUGUUUCUAAUAUAUACUCUGUACAUAAUUUUGAAAGAAAAAUAUAGAGGACUGUCUUUGUGGCUUGGCAGAUUGUGAGUGAACAACGAAAUAAUGGACACUUUUCUGUGUCUUUGGUGUUUAGAGUUUAAAGGGGAUGGUCAGUUUUAACCCCUACAGGGUCUAGAACAAAGCCCGUCUCCGCUUCGUUGUGCACUUCUCUUUCCUGGCUACACAAUUCCUCAUCUUUUCUGGGCCCUUAGUUCUUUUCCAUGUUAAGCGGCUAAUGACUGAAGAAGCGGUAGUAUUAGGACAAUUCAUGGAGAAGGAUGCAGAAGAUUCUCUGAUGAUAUGUUUUAGCCACCAAGUCUUCUUUCCAUUUUCUACUGUGUCUCUUAUCCCUCAGUCUAUGAUAUACUCAAAAUUAAGAGUGAGUACAAAAGGGCCCUUUAAAAAGGAGCACAGAAAUUUGCUUGCUUAUAGGAAAGGCAGGAAGGAUGAGGCAGCUUUUCUAGCAAUCAGUGUUCACUGGAGUCUCAAUGAUGAAACCAGAUUUAACAUCCCCACUGGGCGAUGUAACAUUUUUUUUGUAAAUCAUGUAUUUCUCUGUUCCUGGGGAUUACCAUGCUAG
rnacentral:lncRNA from 1 species